rnacentral:rRNA from 1 species
GAUGAACGCUGGCGGCGUGCCUAAUACAUGCAAGUCGAGCGAACAGAUAAGGAGCUUGCUCCUUUGACGUUAGCGGCGGACGGGUGAGUAACACGUGGAUAACCUACCUAUAAGACUGGGAUAACUUCGGGAAACCGGAGCUAAUACCGGAUAACAUAUUGAACCGCAUGGUUCAAUAGUGAAAGGCGGCUUUGCUGUCACUUAUAGAUGGAUCCGCGCCGUAUUAGCUAGUUGGUAAGGUAACGGCUUACCAAGGCAACGAUACGUAGCCGACCUGAGAGGGGGACGGCCACAACGGAAACGAAGACAGGGUCCGGCCACUGAGGGGGGGCGGCAGAGGGAGUGCUGCGGAAAGGGGCGAAGGCCGGGGGGAGACCCCCGGCGGGGGUGAGAAGGGUUUUGGGAUCGAAAAACUCUUUUAUGGGGAAAGAAAAAAUGUGAAAGAAAUGGUCCACAUCUGGAGGGUACCUGAUAAGAAGACCACGCCUAACCAGGGC